rnacentral:rRNA from 1 species
AUUGAACGCUGGCGGCAUGCUUUACACAUGCAAGUCGAACGGUAACAGGCCUUCGGGUGCUGACGAGUGGCGCACGGGUGCGUAAUGCAUCGGAACGUGCCCAGAGGUGGGGGAUAACGCAGCGAAAGCUGUGCUAAUACCGCAUGUGAUCUGAGGAUGAAAGCGGGGGACCAGGCAGCAAUGUUUGGCCUCGCGCCUUUGGAGCGGCCGAUGUCAGAUUAGGUAGUUGCUGGGGUAAAGGCCUACCAAGCCGACGAUCUGUAGCUGGUCUGAGAGGACGACCAGCCACACUGGGACUGAGACACGGCCCAGACUCCUACGGGAGGCAGCAGUGGGGAAUUUUGGACAAUGGGCGCAAGCCUGAUCCAGCAAUGCCGCGUGAGGGAAGAAGGCCUUCGGGUUGUAAACCGCUUUUGUACGGAACGAAAAGGCUCUGGCUAAUACCUGGGGCUGAUGACGGUACCGUAAGAAUAAGCACCGGCUAACUACGUG